CAGGCACUCGAGGGAGGAAAAGAGCCCUGUAGUCUACGCCACUGGUCGAUUGAAAGGGAGGUCACCCAUGGCACGGGUACCAAUUCAAACAUUUACAGCAAACGACAAGUCUCGGCUUAGACUGAACCAGUAGCCGUCAAAUUUGGCAACCAGUUGCAAAACGUAAGCAGCAGAUACAUUUUCCAAAAUAUCUUUCGUUAAAUGAAGCCUUUCAUUAGUUUUCUAAAAAACAAGCAGAAUAUCAACUAGACAUACCCUGGUAUCUGAUCGAAAUAAUUAUCUUGAAGCGAAUAUUCCUGAAAUGAAUGGAUGAAAGGGGUCUUAGGUAUGUGCAGAAAGGAGAAGGAUGGAAAUCAACUAUUGAAAAA